AACACCCUGCUGUGUGCGUGAUGUUGCAACAUCGGUUUUGAGCCAACACUUUAAAAAGGGGUUCCUCGCUCACAAGAGUAACGCGAUAGGCUUCGGCCAAGGCGGGUCUUCUGUGGCGGUACCCAUCCUGCUUCGGCAGGUUCAAAACUCUGCAACACACGGCAUGGCGGGGACUUU
rnacentral:other from 1 species